GAGCGGCGAACGGGUGAGUAACACGUGGGUGAUCUGCCUCGCACUCUGGGAUAAGCCUGGGAAACUGGGUCUAAUACCGGAUACGACCAGGGGAUGCAUGUCCUUUGGUGGAAAGGUUUACUGGUGCGAGAUGGGCCCGCGGCCUAUCAGCUUGUUGGUGGGGUAACGGCCUACCAAGGCGACGACGGGUAGCCGACCUGAGAGGGUGACCGGCCACACUGGGACUGAGACACGGCCCAGACUCCUACGGGAGGCAGCAGUGGGGAAUAUUGCACAAUGGGCGAAAGCCUGAUGCAGCGACGCCGCGUGAGGGAUGACGGCCUUCGGGUUGUAAACCUCUUUUGACAGGGACGAAGCGCAAGUGACGGUACCUGUAGAAGAAGCACCGGCCAACUACGUGCCAGCAGCCGCGGUAAUACGUAGGGUGCGAGCGUUGUCCGGAAUUACUGGGCGUAAAGAGCUUGUAGGCGGUCUGUCACGUCUUCUGUGAAAACUUGGGGCUCAACCUUAAGCUU
rnacentral:rRNA from 1 species